rnacentral:rRNA from 1 species
CUACGGGGUGCUCCAGUGGGGAAUAUUGCGCAAUGGGGGAAACCCUGACGCAGCAACGCCGCGUGCGGGAUGAAGGUCUUCGGGUCGUAAACCGCUGUCAGGCAGGACGAAACAUCGAAACGUGAAUAAUGUUUCGAUCUGACGGUACUGCCAGAGGAAGUCCCGGCUAACUCCGUGCCAGCAGCCGCGGUGAAUACGGAGGGGACAAGCGUUGUUCGGAAUUAUUGGGCGUAAAGAGCACGUAGGUGGCCAGAAAAGUCAGACGUGAAAGCCCUCUGCUCAACAGAGGAAGGGCGUUUGAAACUCUUUGGCUUGAGUGUGGGAGAGGAGAGUGGAAUUCCCAGUGUAGCGGUGAAAUGCGUAGAUAUUGGGAAGAACACCAGUGGCGAAGGCGGCUCUCUGGCCCACUACUGACACUGAGGUGCGAAAGCUAGGGGAGCAAACGGGAUUAGAUACCCUUGUAGUC